rnacentral:misc_RNA from 1 species
GGAAGGAUCAUUAACACGUAUCCACGUAUCUACCUCUCGUGAACUCAUUUUGUUAUGUAGUUAUGCUCAAAUAUGACUAAGGAAGCAGAUGACCAUGUCGUAGAUUUUUUUAAAACGAAAAUCUCGUUCUGCUUGCCUGUCCACCUUUUGUUGAGUGCUAGUGUAUGCUAGUAUAUUUACUCCUUAGGAUGGGUAUUUGAGAAAACUCGAAUCAUGGUGGUUAUCAACUUAUUAACCCCUUUUUUUUAAAAUUGUCUUAGUGAGUGUGUUUUUCUCUUCAUUGUAGAAAAGCUAUCUCCAAAAAAAAUUAACACUAUACAACUCUUAGCAACGGAUAUCUCGGUUCUCCUAUCGAUGAAGAACGCAGCGAAAUGCGAUACGUAAUGCGAAUUGCAGAAUUCAGUGAAUCAUCGAAUCUUUGAACGCAAAUUGCACUCUGGGGUAGCCCCCAGAGUACUCUUCUUUCAGUACCGGUUCCACACAAACUCAGCUGCGUGCUUUUUGAAAAAGAAGCUCGUAUUGCUGGAUAAUGAGAGUCAAAUUUGUUUUUGUUUGUCUCUUUAAGUACUUUAUGCUUGCAACACCUGUAAUGCCGAAAGGAUGCUCUCUACACCAACCCCUCUGGGUGACGAAAGUAUGGCUUCCAAUAGCAAAACAGCGUCGCUGUCCUCUGAUAAUCAGGUUUCCUUUUUGGAUUCUAAAAUUUCUUAAGGACUUGGCGAAAUUCGCUGGGAUUGGCCAGAAAAAGUGUAACCAGAGAUUGGAUUGCAUCGGCCGAGUAACGCACUACUAGGUUGUUCGGAGCUAUUUCUUUAAGACUUUUUUUAAAAAAGGAAGUAAAAUUCUUUUUUUUAAAAUCUUAUGAAUUUGGUCUGAAAUGAAGUGAGAAUACCCGCCGAAUUUAAGCAUAUUAUUAAGCGGAGGAAAAGAAACUAACAAGGAUUCCCCUAGUAACGGCGAGUGAAGCGGGAAAAGCUCAACCUGAAAAUCGGUGUACCUAGCGGUGCUCCGAAUUGUGGGGUAGUGACGCAGCGCCAGCGUGUGACCUGGGUAUAAAUCUUUUGAAACAAGGUAUCAGAGAGGGUGAGAAUCCCGUCUUUGACCCGGAGUUUGCCGCGUACGGCCUGUGUUCUAAGAGUCGGAUAGCUUGGGAGUGCUGUCCUAAAUGGGUGGUAAAUUUCAUCUAAAGCUAAAUAUGGAGGAGAGACCGAUAGCGAACAAGUACCGUGAGGGAAAGAUGAAAAGAACUUUGAAAAGAGAGUUAAAAAGUACUUGAAAUUGCUAAGAGGUAAGCACUGGAAACCAGUCAUGCCUAAGGUUAUUUGCCUUCUCGCUGGUGUCACCGAGUGUUGCUAGGACCUUACGGCCUGGUAAUGCCUGGUUGAUAUCAGGGGGUUGGAACUGUAGCUUUGGGUGAGUCAACAUCAGUUAGUCUCGCGGGAGAAUGUUAUCUGGGAGGUGAUCCCUCUAGCAAUAGAGGGAAACUAACAUACCAGGUAAUAACUACCGUGGGAUUGACUGAGGAAACGAUAACGCGCCCCGCAAGGGAGCGGUCCCUAGUUCCUGUUCUUGUAGUUGGUCCGGAAAACAAAGUUUUGCGAAUUGGCUAUCUUGAAUACUGAAUUGGGUCGUAUCAGCUGCGUGUUCGCGAUGUUGACGAAAUGGUUUUCAUUGACCCGUCUUGAAACACGGACCAAGGAGUCUAACGUAUAUGCGAGUAUUUGGGUGCGUAAAACCCUGAUGCGCAAUGAAAGUGAAGCAGGUCUUAUGACUUGUGAGGUAGGAACCCUGGGCUUGCCCGGGAGGCACUAUCGACCGAUCAAUCAUUUAUGAGAGAUUUGAGUAAGAGCAUAUCUGUUGGGACCCGAAAGAUGGUGAACUAUGCCUGAUCAGGGCGAAGCCAGGGGAAACUCUGGUGGAGGCUCGUAGCGAUACUGACGUGCAAAUCGUUCGUCUGAAUUGGGUAUAGGGGCGAAAGACUAAUCGAACCAUCUAGUAGCUGGUUCCCUC